rnacentral:lncRNA from 10 species
ACAAGGCAAGGUUUUGGUCAAUAAAGUCAUUUUAUUUAUUUUAGAAUUAUUUUUUAAUGUAGUAAGAUACAUAUAGCUUAAAAUGAACCAUUUAAACACUUUUUGGUUAUACAGCUCAAUAGCAUUUAGAUAGAUGCACAUUUUGUGCAGUCAUCACCACUAUCCAUCUCCAGAACUUUUUCAUCAUCCCAAACUGAAACUCUGUACUCCUUAAACAGUAACUCCCCAUUUUCUCCUCCUCAGGCUCCUGGUAACCACUGUUCUACUUCCUGUCUGUACAA